rnacentral:rRNA from 1 species
UGCCAGCAGCCGCGGUAAUACGUGGGAUGAAAGCGUUAUCCGGAAUCAUUGGGCGUAAAGCGCCUGUAGGUUGUUUAAUAAGUCUGUUGUUAAAGACUAGGGCUUAACCCUAGAAAAGCAAUGGAAACUACUAGACUAGAGUAUGGCAGGGGUAAAGGGAAUUUCUAGUGUAGCGGUGAAAGGCGUAGAUAUUAGAAAGGACACCGGUGUCGAAAGCGCUCUACUGGACCAUUACUGACACUCAGAGUCGAAAGCUAGGUUCGCAAAAGGUAUUCGAUA